AGUUUUAUGUUCAUAGAACAUAGGGAGAAAAAGAAUUAAAAUUGCUAGCACAGCCUUAGCUCACCCUGUCAAGUGCUCUGCAACUGCCUUUGAUGAGCUGAAAGUGUUCCCUACAGGAUGCUCCUCUUGAUUGCUGCAGAACCUGACCCUCCAUUAAGAGACUGUCCAGGGCAUGCUGUAUAUCUCUGAAGAAAAUCUACCACACCAUCUGACAUUGUUCGUACUCCAUUUUGUAGCAACCGUUAAGACAGAGGCCAGUCUCAGUGCUAAGCAACAUAUGACUGGGAGGACUUCUCAAACCUCAGUGGACUUCUCAAACUUCAACUGAUGCCAACAGCAGCAGCUAGGGAAUGAUCUCUCCUGACUGACACUCUGUUUUCACAUACAAUUUAUGGAGCUUAGUUAAUGUGUGGCCCUAAACAAUUGCUGCUUUUCUCUUUCUGUAUGAUAAUGAAUCUUGUGACAAAGCCAAGAGUACCUGAUGAGAAGUAAAGGAAGCAGAAAUGUUUUCAUUGCAAAGAUCACACAGGGAGACAUGGGUGAUUUAAGCACCUGUGCAGUGGGUAACACAAAUGUGGCUCAUACACUAUUUUGCCCUCCCAUCCUUUCUUUCUAGCUUACCACUAACACCUCAAAGAGCAGGAAGCAGGGAAACUAUCCAUCCCAUUUAGUCUAGACAAACUCCAGACAUUUAUUUUCUCACCGUUAUUCCAAUAACUAAUCGUUUAGGGUUGAAGCGACCGCACAAGCCAGAGAAACAACUGCAGCAGCCACUGCUAGACCUUGGGUGCCUGUCCCUGGGAGAGGCUGGGGGCUGCCAUGGCAGG